rnacentral:rRNA from 1 species
UGUGAACUCGAAGAGUAGGGCGGGACACGUGGUAUCCUGUCUGAAUAUGGGGGGACCAUCCUCCAAGGCUAAAUACUCCUGACUGACCGAUAGUGAACCAGUACCGUGAGGGAAAGGCGAAAAGAACCCCGGCGAGGGGAGUGAAAAAGAACCUGAAACCGUGUACGUACAAGCAGUGGGAGCACCUUCGGGUGUGACUGCGUACCUUUUGUAUAAUGGGUCAGCGACUUAUAUUCUGUAGCAAGGUUAACCGUAUAGGGGAGCCGCAGGGAAACCGAGUCUUAACUGGGCGUUAAGUUGCAGGGUAUAGACCCGAAACCCGGUGAUCUAGCCAUGGGCAGGUUGAAGGUUGGGUAACACUAACUGGAGGACCGAACCGACUAAUGUUGAAAAAUUAGCGGAUGACUUGUGGCUGGGGGUGAAAGGCCAAUCAAACCGGGAGAUAGCUGGUUCUCCCCGAAAGCUAUUUAGGUAGCGCCUCGUGAACUCAUCUUCGGGGGUAGAGCACUGUUUCGGCUAGGGGGUCAUCCCGACUUACCAACCCGAUGCAAACUACGAAUACCGAAGAAUGUUAUCACGGGAGACACACGGCGGGUGCUAACGUCCGUCGUGAAGAGGGAAACAACCCAGACCGCCAGCUAAGGUCCCAAAGUCACAGUUAAGUGGGAAACGAUGUGGGAAGGCACAGACAGCCAGGAUGUUGGCUUAGAAGCAGCCAUCAUUUAAAGAAAGCGUAAUAGCUCACUGGUCGAGUCGGCCUGCGCGGAAGAUGUAACGGGGCUAAACUGUGCACCGAAGCUGCGGCAGCGACACUAUGUGUUGUUGGGUAGGGGAGCGUUCUGUAAGCCUGCGAAGGUGGCCUGUGAGGGUUGCUGGAGGUAUCAGAAGUGCGAAUGCUGACAUAAGUAACGAUAAUGCGGGUGAAAAGCCCGCACGCCGGAAGACCAAGGGUUCCUGUCCAACGUUAAUCGGGGCAGGGUGAGUCGACCCCUAAGGCGAGGCCGAAAGGCGUAGUCGAUGGGAAACAGGUUAAUAUUCCUGUACUUGGUGUUACUGCGAAGGGGGGACGGAGAAGGCUAUGUUAGCCGGGCGACGGUUGUCCCGGUUUAAGCAUGUAGGCGGAGGUUCCAGGUAAAUCCGGUACCUUUU